CGUAGGGUGCGAGCGUUAAUCGGAAUUACUGGGCGUAAAGUGUGCGCAGGUGGCCGCGCAAGUCGAGUGUGAAAUCCCUGGGCUUAACUUGGGAAUUGCGCUCGAAACUACGUGGCUCGAGUGUGGCAGAGGAAGGUGGAAUUCCACGUGUAGCGGUGAAAUGCGUAGAGAUGUGGAGGAACACCGAUGGCGAAGGCAGCCUUCUGGGCCAACACUGACGCUCAUGCACGAAAGCGUGGGGAGCAAACAGGAUUAGAUACCCUGGUAGUCCACGCCCUAAACGAUGAUGACUAGUUGUUGGAGGAGUUAAAUCCUUUAGUAACGCAGCUAACGCGUGAAGUCAUCCGCCUGGGGAGUACGGUCGCAAGAUCA
rnacentral:rRNA from 1 species